rnacentral:rRNA from 1 species
CCUACGGGUGGCAGCAGUGGGGAAGAUUGCACAAGGGGCGAAAGCCUGAUGCAGGAACGCCGCGUGAAGGAAGAAGGGUUUCGGCUCGUAAACUUCGAUCAACAGGGACGAAAGAAAUGACGGUACCUGAAUAAGAAGCCAGGGCUACCGACGAGCCAGCAGCCGCGGGAAUACGUAGGGGGCAAGCGGGAUCCGGAAUUACUGGGGGGAAAGGGGGCGCAGACGGCAAUGCAAGCCAGGAGGGAAAGCCCGGGGCCCAACCCCGGGACUGCUCUUGGAACUGCAGGGCUGGAGUACCGGAGGGGCAGGCGGAAUUCCUAGUGUAGCGGUGAAAUGCGUAGAUAUUAGGCGGAACCCCGGUGGCGACGGCGGCCUGCUGGACUGUGCCUGACGUUGAGGCCCGAAUGCGUGGGGAGCAAACAGGAUUAGAUACCCGAGUAGUC